CCCCAAAACGGGGUCGCCCCCCCCAAAAUGGGGUUAACCCCCUACCCCCCCCGCAUGUGUCCCCUGAAAUUGAGGGGGGGGCUGUGGCGCAUGCCUGGGUUCCCCCCCGGACCCCUCGGGGCUCGAAUGUGGGUCACACUCUGGGGGGGGUGCAGAUGCUGCCCCCCCACCCCUAAAUUGGGGGGCCGGGGGGAGGGGGGGAAUGGGUCCUCUCCGGUGACCCCCCCCCACACCCGUGUCCCCCCAAAAGGCCACAGGAGGCGGAGGAUGUGCAGCCCCCACCCCCCGAGCACAGCACAGAGCCUGACCCUGCCCCAACGCCCCCCCCGGAUGCGGAGCAGCCCCCAGCACAGGGCGCCGAGGACGAGGCGGUGGCGCGGGAGCUGGAGCAGCUCUACCUGUCCCACCUGCGCCGGCUGCGGGGGGACCCCGGCGACAGCGACCCCCCCCCGAGAAACGGGGGGCCCCCAUUCCCCGAGAGAGCCCCCAACACCUCGCUGGCCAACGAGAUGGCCCUGCGCUACGAGGGGGGGGGUCGGUGCAGCCCCCCGGUGCUGCUGGGGAGGGGGGGGCCGGUGGAGGGGGCGCUGGUGGUGCCGGCGCGGCCCCCCCGGGGGAGGGGGAGCAGUUUGGGGGGGGCCCUGAGGGGGUGCGGGGUGGUCUUGGCCUUGGCCGUGCUGGUGCCGGUGGCCUGGGGGGACGGGGGGGGCCCCACGGCCGCGCUGGCCCUGGGGCUUUACCUGGCACUGGCCUGGCUCACGUGAGGGGGGUGGGGGGGGGGAGCCCCGAUUGUCACCACCCCAAAAAUUGUCACCUCCCAAAAAGUCACAGCCCCCCCACACACCAUUCCACCUUAGAAAACGUGGGACACCCCUAAAUCAAUCUGGGGGUGGGGGGCGGGCGGUCAAGGGAACCCCCUAAAUGGAAGGGCACCCCCAAAUGGAAGGGCACCCCCAAAUGGAAGGGCACCCCCAAAUUGCCCCCCCACCCCACCCCGGGGUGGGGGCACUGUCACUUUGUGGGACAUCCUCCCCCUCCCUCCCCCCCGAGUCAUGUGCACUCCACGCGGGUUUUGGGGCGCCCCUGUGUACAUACAGCCAUGGAACGAUGGUG